rnacentral:rRNA from 1 species
AUCAGCCUUUUGGGUGUGAUUAUGUGGAGCGUGAGGAGUUAAACGCCUUCAUGCCUGCAUAUUCGUGCACUUUGGGUGUACUUGCCCGUGUGGUUGGUUAACAUCAAUUUUGGUUAUCAUAAAAUGACUGGAGGAAUGUAGCUUCGAUCUCGUAUUGAAGUGUUAUAGCCUUCGGUAGAUGUGAUGAUCGAGAUUGAGGAUUGCAACGGAUACCCUUCGGGGCUACCUGUCUGGUCUCUGAUCGUUGCUCUGGUGCCGAAAGCUUGCUUACGGUUAUCAAAGUCGAUGGUCAAUAGGUUAGAACGGGUUAAAUUCGUUAAGGAUGUUGACGUAAUGGCUUU